rnacentral:tRNA from 1 species
UGGCCGGCUUCCGGGCGGCGAUCACGGCGAACCUGGACGAGGUUCGACGGCGGUGCGAGUCGUCGGGCUAGCGUUCGGCGUGUCGCCGGUCGCC